rnacentral:rRNA from 1 species
AUACAGAGGGUGCGAGCGUUAAUCGGAAUUACUGGGCGUAAAGCGCGCGUAGGCGGCUUGGUCAGUCGGAUGUGAAAGCCCUGGGCUCAACCUGGGAAUUGCAUUCGAUACUGCCAAGCUAGAGUAUGGGAGAGGGAAGUGGAAUUUCCGGUGUAGCGGUGAAAUGCGUAGAUAUCGGAAAGAACACCAGUGGCGAAGGCGACUUCCUGGCCCAGUACUGACGCUGAGGUGCGAAAGCGUGGGGAGCGAACAGGAUUAGAUACCCUAGUAGUCC